rnacentral:lncRNA from 1 species
UGCGACACAGUAAAAGUAAUAAAAAAGCCUGUUUGGUUCCCAAAAAGGGGGUGCGGCUGCCAGUUACCAAUGAUUUUUGGCAGCGAGUGUCGCAGCGGUUUGAUUUGGGAUGGAGAAACACAGCUGGUGAUGUGAACCCUGGGGACACUGUGACCUACGAGGAGCUUUUGGGAUGGCGGCGCUCGUCCCGCAGUGUGAUAUCCUUUGCUGGAGCUCCAGCUGGUUCCCAUGUUUCGGUAUGGUAUCAAAAAAACAAAUGUCCUGAAAUUUGCAGCCAGCCAGGUCGCGCACUUCUCAGGAGCCCUGGAGGGGUCCUGGUCCGAGCUCCCUCCCCCAGUCUGGCAGAGGAGUCUCAAGCGGAGCCCCCCGAGGGGUUUGGUACCCACCAGCGGUGGAUCCGUGGCCGCCUGCGCUCCGCUGGAGCUCACGUUCUGGCAGUGCUCCUCGUUUGGGGAUGUUUCCUGGGAACACGGCCUCUGGCCGCUUGCCACACCGAGCCCCCCGUGCUGUCGGGGGGGACGUCAGCAUCUGGAGACGUUACUGAAACCUCCAGGACCUUGGGAGGACGGAGCUUCAGGUUGUCUCCUUUCUCCUCCCUCGGGCAGGCGAAGCUUCAGCAGUGCUUUGGGGAAGAGACACUAGUGUCUCCACGUUGCUGCUGCCGCAGGACCGUCACCUCCCUCGAGGGUGGUGGGUGCCAGGCAGGGUUCUCCCACCGCGCCGGCAGAGCCCGACCAUCACCACCCUUCCCACAGCACCAAAGCCAGGAGCCUCCCUACAGACCGAAGUCUUCACAGAAUCGUGGAAUGGUUUCAGCUGGAAGGGACCUUAAAGACCAUCGAGUUCCAACCCCCCUGCCCUGGGCAGGGACACCUCCCACCAGCCCAGGUUGCCCAAAGCCCCCUCCAACCUUGGCCUUGAACCCCUCCAGGGAUGGGGCAGCCACAGCUUCUCUGGGCAACCUGGGCCAGGCUCUCACCACCCUCACACCAAAGAGGUUCUUCCCCACAUCUCAGCUCAAUCUCCUAACUUUUGGUUUAAAACCC